UAAUUCUGCAACUAUUUGAGAAGUUAAACAAUUUGGUCCAGUGAUUCGGUGAAGCACCUGAAAAUAGUGGUUGCAAAGAAGUGGGAAAUUCACAAAAAUCCAUCGAAAAGCAAACGAAUGGAGGAUAGAAGUUCGAUUUUUAUCCGUCAAGUUAGGUUUUGGUGAAGCGAAGGAGUUGAACUACAGGCGGAUACCAAAGGGCUUGUAGCAUAGCGAUAUAAAGGUGUCUAGUAAAGGCGUUCACAUGGUUUUAAAAAAACGUUUGAGGCGUGCGCCUCAAGGCGCGCCUCGAGACGAAACGACCAAAAAACGAAUCUGAGGCGCGCCUCAUGGUGUUUUUAAUGUAUAUGCGCCUCAGGUAAAUGCCUGAACCAAAGUUCGUUGGUGUCUAUGAGGAUGAUAACGUGGUCCUAGAGUAAAAUGGUAACAAUGUCAAGAAAGCAGGGAUCCAUUCAACACUAGCUUCACUCCUUGAUGAAAACAGUUCCAAUGCCCGAUGCCCAAUAUGUUAUUUUUUGGAUUUGGUUCAUUUGUUCAUCAGUAAUAUGAAUUCUCCUCUUCCUGAUAAUGAAUUUGGAGUCAUCUGAUUUUGAAAAUGUGAUUCUCAUGUAGGCGGAUACCAAAGGGCUUGUAGCGUAGCGAUAUAAAGUUGUCUAGUAAAGGCGUUCAAAGUGGUUGAGGAUUCUAGUCCCUUGGUGGACGUUGGUGUAGAUCUAGGAGCAGUGGCGGAACUAGCCCCAAAAGUUAGGGGUAUCCUAAUUUUUUUUUAGCAUCAGGGGUAUCCUUUAUAUGAUGGAAACGGAGUUGAGGAGUAUUUUACACUACGGAAAUGGAGUUAAAGGGGUAUUUUUACACUACGGAGACGGGGUUGAGGGGUAGCCCGUGCUAUCCCUACUAACACUCUAAAAACAUGAGGUAAAUGCCUGAACCAACGUCCGUUGGUGUCUAUGAGGAUGAUAACGUGGUCCUAGAGUAAAAUGGUAACACUGUCAAGAAAGCAGGGCUCAAUUCAACACUAGCUUCACUCCUCGAUGAUCAUGUGCUUGCAGAUAAAGAAACCAACUCUAUCAGAUGUUGACACCCUGAUCAGCUUGGAACUUGGGAGUGCACAUCUUUUGAUGUUGCUGUGAUGAUUUCUGCUACAGUUAAGGAUUUGAAACUAGCUGUCGAGAAAAAAGUCAAUGAAAUAGAGCAGUCAAAGAUGGGCCAUCGCCAUAUUUCUUGAUGUUGCUGUGAUGAAUUCUGCAACAGUCAAGGAUUUGAAAAUUGCUGUUGAGAAAAAAAGUCAAUGAAAUGAAGCAGUCAAAGAUGGGUCAUCGCCAUAUUUCUUGGCCAUAAGGCAAUGACUGCGACCCCACUCAUCUGUCGUCAUGGUUAAGAAUUCUUUCAUGAGGCGCUCACUCGAGAUCCAUGCCCCGUCAACCGGAAAACCUGCUUUUGUUGGCGCAAUUCCUCAUAUUAGCGGCAAAGUUGGGUUGAUUUUGACCGCUUGUGACCCAGAGGAAGUUAGUGAAACUGUUGCGAGAUAUAAGUUGCAGCCGCUGGUGUUUUCGUCAAUGGAUAUUGGGAUUUGGGAUGUGUUCCCUUUGGCAGUGGUUGCUGGGUUUUCAUAUGAAUUUGCUCACCAAAUGAAGUGGUUUUUUAAGGUUGAAGAUUUAUUUCAGAAUAAGGAGAUCCAUAAGUUGUUUAUGUGCAUACCUAUUUUAAAAUCAUUGUAUUUAAGCAAAUUUUAUUACAAUUCAAUUGAUAAUCUAUAUAAUCUUAUUGUGUUUGUGAA